UACGUAGGUGACCAGCGUUGUCCGGAUUUACUGGGCGUAAAGAGCGCGCAGGCGGUCGUUCAAGUCGAGUGUGAAAGCCCCCGGCUCAACUGGGGAGGGUCACUCGAUACUGAUCGACUUGAAGGCAGGAGAGGGAAGCGGAAUUCCCGGUGUAGUGGUGAAAUGCGUAGAUAUCGGGAGGAACACCAGUGGCGAAGGCGGCUUCCUGGCCUGUUCUUGACGCUGAGGCGCGAAAGUCAGGGGAGCGAACAGG
rnacentral:rRNA from 1 species